GAAGUAGAAGUCGUAACAAGGUUUCCGUAGGUGAACCUGCGGAAGGAUCAUUAUUGUAUAACCGAGGUGCGAGGGCUGUCGCUGACCCGAAAGGUCGUGCACGCCCGAGUGCCCUCACACACAUCCAUCUCACCCCUAUGUGCACCACCGCGUGGGUCCCCCUUUGGCUUGUUCGGAGGGGGGCUUACGUUUUCACACAAACUUUGUAUGCAGUGUAGAAUGUAUUUUUUGUUUUUGCGAUCACGCAAUCAAUACAACUUUCAACAACGGAUCUCUUGGCUCUC
rnacentral:misc_RNA from 1 species